GGGUGGGCUAGUCUAAGCAACUCCAAGGUGGGAGAUGCUGGUGGUCCCAAGACGACAUUUGAGUGGCAAAGACCUGACUAUUUGAGAGAUGGAGCGAAUGCAGGUCUUCAGUAUUCGCAUCUAAGGACACAUGUAGAUGCAGGCGUUCUCGCGGCUGAGAAAUAAAGAUCCUCCCACUAGGCCAGCUGAUGAGAACACAGUUACAACCAGUCCCACCGUGUGUGCAGCGCACCCAGACCAACAGUCCGAGGGAUGGUAGAAUCGUGCCUCAGAAGCCACCUGACUUUCGAGCUUUGAUGUCAGAAUACGAAAUGCAAACUUCGACUUUUGAUUCACAUUCAGGGUAUUCUAAAUUCAGCGUGGAAUUGAUAUUCUCGGGGUGACCUUCAAGCAGCAAGUCCUGACGGCCUCGCUCGGCUGGCCAUGAUGCCUCACUGUGCACGUUCUUUUAUCUAAGCCACAGGCCCGACAGGAGCAAGGUCAGGCUGUUUGAAUUCAAAGGGCUGAAUUAUAAAAUGAGACUUUAUCCUGAGAGCACUGAGAAAUAUAAACCAAGAAGAAUUGACCAUCUAUGGGCAAAGUAUGUAUUCAUGUGAAGCAGAAUCUACAUGGCUAUGUUAGAAUGUCUGAGCAUCGUCUAUACCUGGGAAUCUAAUAUGCAAGAGGAAAGCGUGCUUCUUUAGCAUCUGAUAGUAAUCCCAUAUGCCCACAAUGAAAUUGGCAUGAAUAAUUCCCUCCAUCUAAUUUCUUGUACAUUCGUAAAGUGUCCCUAAAAAUAAACAUGUAAUAAUGGA